rnacentral:rRNA from 1 species
AUUGAACGCUGGCGGCAGGCCUAACACAUGCAAGUCGAGCGGAUGAAGGGAGCUUGCUCCUGGAUUCAGCGGCGGACGGGUGAGUAAUGCCUAGGAAUCUGCCUGGUAGUGGGGGAUAACGUCCGGAAACGGGCGCUAAUACCGCAUACGUCCUGAGGGAGAAAGUGGGGGAUCUUCGGACCUCACGCUAUCAGAUGAGCCUAGGUCGGAUUAGCUAGUUGGUGGGGUAAAGGCCUACCAAGGCGACGAUCCGUAACUGGUCUGAGAGGAUGAUCAGUCGCACUGGAACUGAGACACGGUCCAGACUCCUACGGGAGGCAGCAGUGGGGAAUAUUGGACAAUGGGCGAAAGCCUGAUCCAGCCAUGCCGCGUGUGUGAAGAAGGUCUUCGGAUUGUAAAGCACUUUAAGUUGGGAGGAAGGGCAGUAAGUUAAUACCUUGCUGUUUUGACGUUACCAACAGAAUAAGCACCGGCUAACUCCGUG